rnacentral:tRNA from 1 species
GGGGUUGUGGCUCAGUGGUAGAGUGCUCCUGUAGCAUAUAGGAGGCACUGGGUUCGAUCCUCAGCACCACA